GGUGGCUCAGUGGAGAGUAUUUGCCUUGCAUGCAUGAGGCCCUGGGUUCAAUUCCUCAGCACCA
rnacentral:tRNA from 1 species